rnacentral:rRNA from 1 species
GCUAUAAUGCAGUCGAGCGAAUGGAUUAAGAGCUUGCUCUUAUGAAGUUAGCGGCGGACGGGUGAGUAACACGUGGGUAACCUGCCCAUAAGACUGGGAUAACUCCGGGAAACCGGGGCUAAUACCGGAUAACAUUUUGAACCGCAUGGUUCGAAAUUGAAAGGCGGCUUCGGCUGUCACUUAUGGAUGGACCCGCGUCGCAUUAGCUAGUUGGUGAGGUAACGGCUCACCAAGGCAACGAUGCGUAGCCGACCUGAGAGGGUGAUCGGCCACACUGGGACUGAGACACGGCCCAGACUCCUACGGGAGGCAGCAGUAGGGAAUCUUCCGCAAUGGACGAAAGUCUGACGGAGCAACGCCGCGUGAGUGAUGAAGGCUUUCGGGUCGUAAAACUCUGUUGUUAGGGAAGAACAAGUGCUAGUUGAAUAAGCUGGCACCUUGACGGUACCUAACCAGAAAGCCACGGCUAACUACGUGCCAGCAGCCGCGGUAAUACGUAGGUGGCAAGCGUUAUCCGGAAUUAUUGGGCGUAAAGCGCGCGCAGGUGGUUUCUUAAGUCUGAUGUGAAAGCCCACGGCUCAACCGUGGAGGGUCAUUGGAAACUGGGAGACUUGAGUGCAGAAGAGGAAAGUGGAAUUCCAUGUGUAGCGGUGAAAUGCGUAGAGAUAUGGAGGAACACCAGUGGCGAAGGCGACUUUCUGGUCUGUAAACUGACACUGAGGCGCGAAAAGCGUGGGGGAGCAAACAGGAUUAGAUACCCUGGUAGUCCACGCCCGUAAACGAUGAGUGCUAAGUGUAGAGGGUUUCCCGCCCUUUAGUGCUGAAUUUAAC